AAUAGAAUAUGCAUAGAAACAGGCACAUUGGCCAAGAGAACACCAUGGCAUGGAAUAGAAGAUGCAUAGAACAAUGCACAUUGGCCAAUAUAACACCAUAGCAUGGAAUAGAAGAUGCAUAGAAACAGACACAUUGGCCAAUAUAACACCAUAGAAUGGAAUAGAAGAUUCACAGAAACAGGCACGUGGGCCAAAACAGCACAAUAUCAUGGAAUAGAAGAUGCAUAGAAACAGACACAUUUUCCAGUAGAACACCACAGCAUGGAAGAAGAGUUGAAUAGAAACACACAUUAGCCAAAAGAACACCAUAGCAUGGAAUAGAAGAUGCCUAGAAAUAGACACAUUGGCCCAAUAUAACACCAUAGGGUGUAAUAGAAUAUGUGUAGAAACAGUUACAUUUGCCAAUAGAACACCAUAGUGUGGAUAAGAAGAUGCAUAGAAACAGGCACAUUGGACAAUAGAACACAAGAUAUUGGAAUAGAAGAUGCAUAGAAACAGACACAUUGGCCAAUGAGAGUGCUAUGGCAUGGAGCAGAAGUUGCAAAGGAACAGGCACUUUGGAAAAUAGAACACCUUAGCAUGAAGGAAGAGAGGAUGGAUACAAACAGGCACUUUGCCCAAUAGAUCAGCAUGGCUUAAGGAUUAGAAGAUGCAUAGUAACAGAUACAUUGGCCAAAAGAACACCAUGUCAUGGAAUAGAAGAUGCAUAGAAACAGGCAUAUUGGCCAAUAGAACACCAUGGCAUGGAAUAUAAGAUGCAUAGAGACAGGCUCAUUGACCUAAUAGAACACCCUGUCAGAGAAUAGAAAAUGCAUAGAAACAGGCAAAUUGGAAAGUAAAACCCCAAGGCAUGCAGUAAAAGAUACAGAUUAACAGGCACAUUGGUUAAUAGAAUACCAUGUCAGAGAAUAGAGGAUGCAUAGAUACAGGCACAUUGGCCAACAGAACACAAAGCUACGGAAUAGAAGAUGCAUAGAUACAGGCAAGUUGGAGAAUACAACACCAUGACAUGCAAUAGAAGUUGCAUAGAAGCAGGCAUAUUGGCCAGUAGAACACCAUGGCAUGGAAUACAAGAUGCCUAGAAACAGGCACAUCAGCCAGUAGAACACCACUGCAUGGAAUACAAGAUGCAUAGAACAAAGCACAUUGGAUAUUAGAACACCAUAGCAUGCAAUAAAUGCUGCAUAGAAACAGACAGAUUGUCCAAUAGAACACCAUAGAAUGGAAUAAAAGAUUCACAGAAACAGG
rnacentral:lncRNA from 1 species